rnacentral:rRNA from 1 species
GACGAACGCUGGCGGCGUGCUUAACACAUGCAAGUCGAACGGAAAGGCCCUGCUUUUGUGGGGUGCUCGAGUGGCGAACGGGUGAGUAACACGUGAGUAACCUGCCCCUGACUUUGGGAUAACUUCAGGAAACUGGGGCUGAUACCGGAUAGGAGCUCCUGCUGCAUGGUGGGGGUUGGAAAGGUUCGGCGGUUGGGGAUGGACUCGCGGCUUAUCAGCUUGUUGGUUGGGUAGUGGCUUACCAAGGCUUUGACGGGUAGCCGGCCUGAGAGGGUGACCGGCCACAUUGGGACUGAGAUACGGCCCAGACUCCUACGGGAGGCAGCAGUGGGGAAGAUUGCACAAUGGGCGGAAGCCUGAUGCAGCAACGCCGCGUGCGGGAUGACGGCCUUCGGGUUGUCAACCGCUUUCGCCUGUGACGAAGCGUGAGUGACGGUAAUGGGUAAAGAAGCACCGGCUAACUACGUG